GAAAUGCGAUGAGUAGUGUGAAUUGCAGAAUUCAGUGAAUCAUCGAAUCUUUGAACGCACAUUGCGCCCCUCGGUAUUCCGUGGGGCAUGCCUGUUCGAGCGUCAUCUACACCCUCAAGCUCUGCUUGGUGUUGGGCGUCUGUCCCGCCUCCUUCGCGCGCGGACUCGCCCCAAAUCCAUUGGUGGCGGCCCUUGCCUCCCUCUCGCGCAGCACAUUGCGCUUCUCGAGGCGCGGCGGACCGCGUCCAGCAAGCAACCGUCACACCGUCUUUGACCUCGGAUCAGGUAGGGAUACCCGCUGAACUUAAGC
rnacentral:misc_RNA from 1 species